GGGGUGAGGGCAGAGGUAGUGGUUUUUAUUUAUACCCAAUGUCUGUUAUAGAGUGGAGGUGGGGUAAUGGUGUUCUGAUAUCUGUUAUAGAGUGGAGGUGGGGUAAUGGUGUCCUGAUGUCUGUUAUAGGGUGGAGGUGGGGUAAUGGUGUUCUGAUGUCUGUUAUAGAGUGGAGGUGGGGUAAUGGUGUUCUGAUGUCUGUUAUAGAGUGGAGGUGGGGUAAUGGUGUUCUGAUAUCUGUUAUAGGGUGGAGGUGGGGUAAUGGUGUCCUGAUGUCUGUUAUAGAGUGGAGGUGGGGUAAUGGUGUUCUGAUGUCUGUUAUAGAGUGGAGGUGGGGUAAUGGUGUUCUGAUGUCUGUUAUAGAGUGGAGGUGGGGUAAUGGUGUUUUGAUAUCUGUUAUAGGGUGGAGGUGGGGUAAUGGUGUUCUGAUGUCUGUUAUAGGGUGGAGGUGGGGUAAUGGUGUUCUGAUGUCUGUUAUAGAGUGGAGGUGGGGUAAUGGUGUUCUGAUGUCUGUUAUAGAGUGGAGGUGGGGUAAUGGUGUUCUGAUGUCUGUUAUAGAGUGGAGGUGGGGUAAUGGUGUUCUGAUGUCUGUUAUAGGGGUGAUGGUGAUGGUUAUAGUGUGUUUGAGGCUGAGACCUGAUAAAGAGGAGACAGACAGCAGGUGGGGAUG
ensembl:lncRNA